rnacentral:misc_RNA from 1 species
ACACUGACCCUGACCCGCCGUACCCCACACUGUGGUCUGUACCAGUCACAGUGGGGGCGGGUCCACUCAUUUAUACAACCUAGAGUUGUGUAUUCGUUAUUAUGUCUGAAACAGACAGAAAGUCUUGUAAAAAUUAUGUUUUUAUGUAAAAAGUGAAGAACAACUGUAUACAUGUUGAUAAAAAAAAUGCAAAAGC